AGGGAGGGCACACCUCUGCUUCUGGGCUGUCCAACUUCUGCGAUCACUCAAGGGGUAAUUAUGCCUCCAGCUUCCUGCUUGGCGAUGAAGUCCGGGAGGCGGCCGCAGUCCUGGUCCUCGGCGGGCGCGCCGCGGCGCCAACGGCCAGCGCGGGGGACGGGGCCCCCGGGCGCGGCGGCGCGCAGCCCCCAGCUCACCCCGACCGGACCGGCCCAGCGCAGCAGAGGAGGCGCGGGCGGCGGCGGCGCGUCCAGCCGGUCCUGGCCGACGGCGGCCGGAGGCAGCAGUUGAAGGAGCAGGAGGAGGCCGAGGGGCCAGCGCAAAAGGCCGUCCGCAGCUCCCCGGGGCCGCUCCAUCGCUGCCGAAUGCAGACGCCGCUGACACCUGCCACCCGGCGCGCCCGCCCACCCCCGCCGGCGCUGCGCCACACCCCCGAGCUCAGCCCGGCGCUGCUUGGAUACGCGCAGCCGGGCCUCUCCUCCCCAAUAGGCUGGCCGCCUGUCCUUCUUCCCCGGCCCACUCCUCAUUGGCUCGCGUCGCCUCCGGCUUCGGGGGUCCUGGAUUCGGAUGCCAAGAUGCGGGACUGAUUGGCUGGAACG
ensembl:antisense Gm12523 predicted gene 12523